rnacentral:rRNA from 1 species
AUUGAACGCUGGCGGCAGGCCUAACACAUGCAAGUCGAGCGAGCGGCGGACGGGUGAGUAAUGUAUGGGGACUGCCCGGUAGAGGGGGAUAACUACUGGAAACGGUGGCUCAUAACGCAUACUAUCGGAUAACCCAUAUGGGAUUAGCUGGUAGGUGGGGUAAAGGCUCACCUAGGCGACGAUCUCUAGCUGGUCUGAGAGGAUGAUCAGCCACACUGGGACUGGGACACGGUCCAGACUCCUACGGAGGGAGCAGGGGGUAAUAUUGGACAAGGGGCGGAAGCCUGAUGCAGGCCUGCCGGGUGUAUGAAGAAGGCCUUAGGGUUGUAAAGUACUUUCUGCGGGGAGGCGUUACCCGCAGAAUAAGCAACGGCUAACUCCGUGCCAGGAGGCGCGGUAAUUC